UAGCGAAAGGGCACGCGUCAACCAGGUAAGUCACCACCCGGUAUUUAGGAAGAAAUACUUGUAGAAUUCGCUUGGAUUGCAUGCAUACUAGUAAUUUUGCCUCAGAUUAGCUCCCCAUGAAUGAGAUUAGUCAGAUUGAUUGUUAUGAGUGUAUUAGGUGAAUUAUCUAAGUGUUGCUUGUAUGCUUUAAGCUUCCGCCGUACGAAUGCAUGCGUUUAAUUUAUGUUGCAAUUGUGUAUUCCGCGUUCCGGGUGCUUGAUGGAUGAAUUCGUCCCAUUGAGCGCGAACUUCGUGUUUUGGGUGGUUGAUGGAGGCCAUCGCCCCAUUGAGCCAGCAUGCCUAGUUUGCAUGAAUUAUAUAUUAUGAUGUUAGAAGACGGAGUUAGUUGAGAG